CAGAGCUCAUUAAAUUUGGUGGAACCAUGGCUCCAAAUCACCCAGAAGUCUGCUGUAUACAUCUGUCAAAGCCAGGAAUUCACAAAUAGAACAAUCUGUAGGAGCCAGAAGCUGCAGCAAGGGCUGAAAAAAAGUGGAAAUUCCAUCUACUUUGGGACAAGAAGUGAAAAUAUCAACAUGCACCAUGGAACAAAAUAUUCUGAAAAACAUGGAUUCAGAAACAAUUUAACAUGAGAUCUUUUGCUAGCUGAGCACAAAAUCUGCAGGUGUCUGCAAUGUGAGGGUGCCCGGUGGGGUUUGGAGGUUGAAUUGCCUGUAGCGUCAUCCUGUCCUGGGCUGGUAAGACAGCAGGCUCAUUGCAGCUGUGGGGCUGGUGGUGAGAGCAGAGCGAGUGCUGCAUCCAUACAGAGGGAGUCCAAGCUGGGAGUUCACCACCACAGGGACAGAUGAGGCUAAAACUACAAACCCAGUUGUAAAACACAGGGUUGUUAUGAAACCGGGUUUCUACUGAACUGAGUUAAAACACAGUAUCUUGGCUCAAAGAAAAGCCUCAGAGCCAUUUGGGAGAUGUCGCAGAAUGUUUUGCUUUUUUGUGGUUGUUUUAUUUUUUUGUCCAAUGGUGCCCUGAUGGUGUUAGAGGCUGCACAAAGCUAAUUAGACAAGACAGCAUAUUUUUAGUUAAAUUCCUGUCUCCGUCUCAUGAACCUGGCACUGAUGCACCAUUAGGAGAUACUUCUCCCUCUCUCACAGUGCUCUGUCUGCACUAAUAGACUGAACAGGCUCAGGCUAGGCUACCCCAGCUCACUUUUGCCAGCAUCAUCUAACACUGUGUCUGUCCAUGGCUCGGGAGACUCAUCCCAGUAAGCAGUAUGGAUAAGAUCUCCCUGUUUUGAGUGAGAAAAAAACCAUGGGGGUCCAUAAAGAGGCAGACCUCACCACAUCUCUCAUCCUCUGGGUUCUGUCUAUGAUCUAUUCCAUGUGCUUGCAUGGUACGACAAAUAUGUGCCCAUGUGGUACUUAGGACAGACAAUGAGGCUGGGUGGUAGGAAUCCUUGUUUUUUGCACCAUCAGUUUUAGCUCAAACCUGUCCAUCAGUUCUCUUCAUCAGGCAUAUCCUGACUGCUUGUGCAGGGACAUGAGAAGGGGAGGAGUGGCUGCUGCUGAGUGCCACCGGGCAGGGAAAGAGUGGGGCUGCAGUGUUGGCUUAAAAUAUUUGUGAAUAGUAGUAGCCACACCUAACUUUAGGUAUUUACCCAGCUAAGUUUUUUGAGCUGUCAUUGCUGGGGUUCCACCCUGCUUUUCAUGAACAGAAGCAAAUAUCUCAUGUGAGCACAGAGCACACUGGAGAGCAGGGCUACAAUGUUCUCAGUUUGAGGACUUUGCUAAGUGCCCGUGGUCAGGCUGGAGGCGCAAUUUCUAGGUGGCUUGUUGCAACAAAAGGCCUGUGGGAGUGCAGUAAGGUGGUCCAAAAUGCCUGAUGCCAGCACAAAUGUUUUAACUAUAAGAACACAUUUCUCUUGUGAUAGAGGUUUUCUUUAUUAAUGUAGUCAUUUCUAUGAACAUUUUAUAAUUGGACCAGGUACCUGGAAAUGAAUAUGAAGUAUUGAAGUUACAGAGCAGAGUAUGCAUGUACUUAUGAAUUGAAAGGAGAAAUUCUAGUUGAAAAAUGCUUUACUGAACGUUAAACCUUCCUCUAGUGAAAAUUAAAGGGUUGCUUAGGACUGCCUACUUUUGCUAUCAAAAGGUACAUCAGAUGUUGAAGUGCAAUUAAAAUCCAGUGGGGCCAAUUUUGCAGCUAAUAAAAAUUUGCAUAACUCGAGUUCACUGGAGCAAUUUUGAUUUUCAGCACCUGAGGAUCUGCCUCUUAGUUUUAAUUAUUUUUUCAAGUGUUCCUCUGCUGUGGCAGAAAGGGAGAAGCGGCAGAAAGCAGCCAGUACGAAAGAGGAAAGGUGUAUGUCUCUAUUACCUUACAAAAGCAAAGGUAGCCAUAGGGAAAAUGGGAGCUUUAAUCCAGACUAAUACUGAUAGAUGUAGGAAUAUAUGUUUUCUGUUCUGUUUUGCUUGGGUGUUAUUUUGGUUUGUGUUUUAUGUAAAAAGGAUGAAAAUUCCCUUCAGAACAUAGUCUUGAACAGUCUGCUAAAUAGACACUUUUAUCUGUGUAGAAAUAGAUGUUUGUGAGACAGGCUUAUUGAGAAAAUUACAAAAGGCUUAUUUCUCACUCAAUGAAAGGAUGGCUCUUCCUUCAGUUAUCAUUAUUGCAGUUUGCUGCCUUCCAUUUAAAAAGUAAAUAUAGCUCUCAGUAAAUUGACCUGUCCUUUAACAUAAGGGUCCUCCUUGAGGUCACAUAAAUGCAGUAAACUGUGUAAGAGCAUGUACCUGAGGGACAGGGAGGGUAUACACAGUACUUGGUUAUGUGUGGUCCUUAAUUUGUACUCAUCCAUUUAUAAUAAAUUUCUAUAGAGGAAAUGCUGUCUUAAAAUCCAUACUUUAGUCAUCAAACACUUGCUAAAUGAUGCUUUUGUGUUACUUUAUCAGUAGCCAAGGAUAAUACUUGAUGUGAUCAAAUGACAGCUGCACUGACUGUAUUUUCUCUCCUUUCUAAUAUGGUGGUGCAAAACAUCUUUGAUACAGAACACACUGAUGAACUGUUAGAGAGGGUUUGGCACAGCUUGCACUAAUUUAAGACAAUGUUUUAAUAAUUGUUGGCUGCAUCUGAAGAGCAAAAAUGUGUCCUAUAUAAAAAUCAAAACAGAUGAUUUGGAGCCAUGGGGAAGUUACUCCUCUCCUAAAAAUUUUCCAAGGCUGACAAUGUCAGGAAACAUAGCUGCCCCCUUGCCUGGCUCUGUCCUGUUCCAGCCAUAUGGCAGGCAUCCCUCUGCAGACCUGCCAGAGCUGGGAAUGCUUCUUCCCACCCAAGCCGAGGAAGUGGGGAAAGAAAGGCAAGGCAGAUUGAAGGAGAGUCCAGGGCUGCUUCAGAGGCCACAGAACAGCUGCUCGUGCCCCUAACUACCCAUAAAGAAGCAACUACUGAAAAUGCUGGGUGUAAUUAAUAGUACAUAGGAAAAUCUUCAGAGGGAUUUUGUAGGCACGUGAGGCUUGUUUCUGACCAUAAUGGUUGCUGCCGGCAAUCUGCGCCCACACUACAUUCAGCAAGGGUGUGUGGGGAGCGGGCGUGUAGAAAAGGAAGAAAAUGGUUAUUUUGAAAACAUUUCAAAUCUUUAGUAUCUGCGUAAUCAUUUGAUCAUUCAGAGAAAACAAUAAACCUUUUACUAGAACCGGAGUCCUAAAACUAAUCACAGAGAGUAAACAAAAGGGAGUGAGAAAGAGAGGGGAAAAAAAAAAUAAAAAAAGCAAGUCUCUACCUGCUACUACCAUCUAGUGGUGAAAAAAGAAAUAAAGGGCGUUUUUGCAGGAACACUGUGGGAGGGAGGAGGCUGGUGAAUAGAAUUAAGAAAUCAGAGAAUUGUUAUCUGUCAGCCACCUUAUCCCCCCAAAAGGAAACACACGCAUAAUCUGCUGCACCCACCCCUUGCUCCUGUCACGAAAAUUAAGCACAAAGCCAGAGCCAUGAAUAGAAAGGAUCAGUAAGGGAAACAUACUUAUCUUGACCUCAGAAUUCACAUCUUUGUUUGAUAUGCAGAUAUGACUUAAGGUCUUCCACCCACGGCCAUCUUUGCAUUCAUAUAUAUGUGCAGUAGCUAGCAAAACAGAACCUGAAUUUUCGCAGUUAACUGCAGGAAAAUACAAGGCCAUGAACAUAAACUGAGUGCUGCUCCUCUCCUAGUGGCUCUGUGCGGUGGAGGUAGUGAGUUUACUGUGAUGACCUCAGCUGUCCUCACACUCCCUGCCACCCUGCCCAUGGCAUGCUCUCUCCUCCUGGCCUGAUUGCCCUCUGACCUGGCACCUCACGGCAGCAGACCAGAGGCUCUGCUGGUGCUGCUAGGUGGGGGCUGGGUGCUUCCACAUGAGUGACAACUGGGACUCCACCAGCGCCUUAUCUUCAGCAGCACCCCUGAAGGACCUCCUUUGAAGCUGCCAGUCUACCAGGCAAACUCGCACCUUCCAAGGAAGCGAGCUUACCGGUCUGAAAUGCAGGGCUAAGAAACCAUGUACUCUAUUUAGGACAAGUACAGCGAGGGGAAAUAAUAGCAGACUUUCCAGCUGUCUUGCACAACUUUUUGACUUCGAGCUGUUCCCUUCAGCUCAAAAAUGAGCUGCUUCUCAAGGUGAUACACAUUUCUUCACAAGCAGUGUGAAGGUCUUUCAGUUCUUCCAAGCUGCUUCUGUCCCCACUGCAGCCUGCUUUCUCUCUAUCACUGAUAACCCUAAUGCCUUCUAGCUGGUGGGAAUCUCAACAGAAAAUUCAGUAGUAGACUUUUGUGUCUACACAUGUAUAAUGCAAAGCAACUUUAGAAGUAAGGUAUAAAAAACAAGAACACUAUAGCUAUUAGUUUUUAAGACAAUAAUUAAUGGGCAGGAUUAAUUAUUUUUUCUACACUGGAAGACAGAAAAAAUUGUCAUUGUAACCCAAUGACUUGGACUGAAGUCUGCUGCUGCUCUCCUAUAUUUCAUUAGGGUUUCUGGUGCAUAUGUAUGAAUCUUGGCAGCUUCCUGCAGCCUUCAGUAGUUAUUCCAUCAAGGCAUCAGCUUUGGUGUCAGGUGUAAUUGGAAUUAUGCCUACCAUACCUGCAGCCGCUGGCAUAUUGUGUAUCCUCAGAUCGCCUCUUCCUUCUGCCUGGACCAGGACAGCUUCCACACUGCUGUAGCUCAGUGCAAUAAAUGCAUCUACAAAAUGUGCCUUUCCCUUCUACACAACUCUGAGUGCAAUCAAAAGUUUAUGUACCUCAGUUCAGAGCACAUUGGUACAAUUCGGACAAAACUGAUUUCAACCUUAAAUUCAAUGCCCAAAAUUAGAGUAAUUAAGUCCUGUAAGUACAACCUGUACCCCCUCCAAGGGGGAAAAAACCCCAAACAACAGGAAACAACCAACAAGAAUCAAUCCUGAGAGAUGUAUUUAUUUUAAACUUAUUGUUUCAAACUUAAAGUUGAUGCCUGAAAUGAGUCAAGCAACCACUAAAGUGCUUCUCUCCACUGAAUGUAGCAGAAAGUGAGAGUGAACAACCGGAGUGCAAGUUAUAAAACUAAAGCUGUGAGUUCAGCAUUGGGUGGAUGGGAGUUUUCACUCCUGUUGCGACACUGAAAAACAGGGAGUACUGGAUGGGGAGAAGUUCCCUAUUGUUCCCUUGUGAAGAAAGCAGCGGUUACCCAAAAUCUGGUUCUAGAAGAACUUAAGGUAUAAAAUAGUGCUCUGAAAACAGCCCCAUAGGCAGGUUGGAUGUCCUUUUACACUCAGACAGGAGAUCACUGGAAGGCUCGUCAGCAGUUUAUCACUGAGAUAGGUCCUGGUCCUUCUACCAGUAGCAUCAAAUUCCACCAAGUUAGGAGGACCAAUGUCCCAUGUCCCAGGUGACACUCAAGCAUUAUUUUUUUGCAAACAAGCGGUAGCAGUGACAAUGAUAAAUAAUUCAUGAUCUGUCUCCUUUACAUCUCUCUGGCUGCAUAUCCUACAGCCAUUUAUUAGAAUGAUACUCUCUCACAUUUAUUCAAGUAUCUAUUGCUGAAGGCUCGGAGAAAAUAGAAAAAUAAUUAUUCUUCAUCAGGAUGCACUUGCAUUUAUAGAAACAGUUGAUAUAUUUAUAGAAGUGUUAUCUACCUAAACACUUAUUCAUGUAAGUAUGCUAAGAGAUUCUAUGGUAUUUAUAGUUAAAGGAAAUAAGGAACUUGAAAUAAAAAUGACAUGCAUGUUUGUCUAAUAAUCAUUUAGUUCUGAUAGAAGUUGCUUUUGCCAUUGCAUUUAUUUAAUUAAUCCAUUUAUACAUUUAUUAUUUUCAAGCCUUAACUUAGAUAUUCUUUCACUUGCUAGAUGGGUACACUUUGUGUCAUCCUUUGUACUGGUAAUUGUAUAUUGUUCUUCUCAUGAAACACCUAGAAGUGUGUUCCUCCUCCAUGAGACAUCCACAAAGACCUUCUUUCUGACCAAAAUGUGUAGAUUUGAUUUUCAACCUCCCACAUAGAAUUAAAACAAAAAUAAUGAAUACUACUAAGAUCCCCUAAUUAUUCUGAUUAGACAGUUGGCAUCCUGAUGACUCAGUUAAAAGGGACUUUUGUACUUUAUUUGCAAGAAUAUUAAGCCUCCAUAUCAGGACUUAGUCCUAUGAUGAUGAUAUGUUUUUUCUUCUCUGUUUUCCCCUAAUGAAUACAUUACAUGUUUUUAUUUUUUUUAGCUUAGUUUCUUGAGAAAUAAUCUGAAUAAGAUUGCAUUAUCUCACUGUUCUCCUCCUCCUCCCUCUUUGUCCAUUUUUAAUCAAUUUAGGCAGAGGCCUCAAAGACUGUGAAGUCUUAAAAAUUUUGUAGCAAUCAGGGCCUGAUUAGAGAACACUGACUUCAUUGAUUCUGCUUCUGAGUGAAAAACCCAGAGGAUUUGGUCAUGCCUCAGCUCUGGUUAUCAGCAUCUCCCCAGGGACCAGCAUGGGCAGUCGAUGUGACUGUGGCCCUCUCUCUUGCUUGUGUUGUCUCUUGCCCAGGCAGCGAGAGGCGGAUGGGGAAGGGGUGUAUGGGUAGGUGGGGGCACUGUCCUGUGGGAGCAUGGGGAACAAAGCAGUCCUGGGAGCACUGUGGGGCAGCUAUGGGACCCUGGAGAGACUGUGUGUCAUACAGUGGGAGUCACAGUGUGUGGAGAAGCUCUUGUUCUUGAGGUGAGCAGGUGUGAGGUGCUACUUGGCCACUUGCGAGACAAAUCCAUGUGAAAUAAGAUUUCCUUAGCUUCCCUGUUUAUGUACUGACUUCCUUUCUUUUAUGCUCAGCUUCUGCUGUUAUUUUGUCCACUGUUCCUGCUCUGGCAUAGGUCACAGAGACCUGACUACUUCCCCAGCCUAUAAUAUUUUCUGCAAAGGACGUGCUUUUGUUGUUUUCUAUAACUUUCUUACAGAAGGAAACUCCAUGUAUCCUAGGUUAUUGUUAUAAUUUUUUUCAUGAUCAUCAUUUUCUAAUGUGAAAAGCUAUUGAAAGUAAAUGUAUGCUGCAGCUUUAUUACAUUCCAUUUAGCAAGAGUAUUUUUUCUUGUGUGUAAAUGCUUUGUGUCACCUUUAGUUUUCUUCGUGCUUAUUUUAACUCCCCGUUUCUUGUUUGCUGCAUAAAAAUAAUUUAUUACCCUCUUCUCUGUAGUUUCUAGAUACUCAAGAAGUGCAAUGUCAUGUGCAGACUCCAUAGGUACUUCUCAUUUAUUCUCUGUAAUCUUACUGCAGUACAGCUUUCUGAAUACUUCCACCAGGCAUGUAGAGAAAAAGGGGGUGGAUAGAAUUGCACUAGAAAAUUUCCUUGCCUUCUUUCUCUCGCUCUUAAAAAGUAGUUACCUCAUGCUCUAUGAUAAUUGCUACUAUGAGGAGAUAAGUGCUGCUUUAACCCCAAAUUGAUGAGCUUCACGUGGCAAUUACUUGGUGGAAUUUCAUUGCCUAUGGUACGCAGGUCAGAUUAGAUGAUUCUUCUGGCAUUAAAAUUUAUGAACCUAUAAAUUUCUGUUUCUCACUUGUUCUCGUAAUGCUUCCUAACAUUUCCAAUGACUAACAGCCCUCUCAUCUAUCAAAUACUCAAAGCUUAGGUAAAUUAUCCUGCAUGACCUUCAAUGCUUUUCUGCCAUUUUAAGUCUGGUCUUCCAGAUGUUGUGCCCCUAAAGCUCUAAGUAGGUUAGGAAUUAUGAGUGCCUAGAGAUGCUGGAUGAGAGUUUGAUAUACUGCUUCAGUGUGAAAAAUCAGGUGGCUUGUCCUAGCCAUAGGUUGCUUGCCUUGUAAAAUCCUUUUUAACUAGCUAGCUUACAGGAGUAAGAUAUUUAUAACUCAGAGGAAAUUUUUUUUUGGUGUGUGUGUGGAUACAUUAUGAUGAUAGGAAUUUAUAUUGAUGUGCUUAGGAAUUUAUUAUGGUUGUUUCUAACCAAUCCCCUCUCUGUGGACCCAGUUGUAAGCUCUCUCCUGCCACCCAGGGUCUCUCUCUGAUCAUGUGUUUGGACCCAAGACUUAGUUCUGAUGCAGCACAGCUGCAUAACCUCCCCACAGACAAGUCUGAAAGAGAGGUCAGAAAGUCUGUAUGGAGAUAAAAAAGACAAAAUUACUGGAAGAAGUAGGAUUGUUGUGAUAAGAUCAGAAGUAGCCGGUGUAUUCAAGAGGAAAAACAUCAGCGUGGAAAGGUAUGAAAAAGUAAUGGAAAAAAUUUAGGACACUGAUUGUGCUGGUUGGGGCUGCUGGUUGUGAAUGAUCAGCUCACCAGGUAAAAAUGGACAGUGCCAUCAGGAGCAGGUGCACAUGGAUAACCCUGUGACAAGGAAGACCUGCUCUGUGGAGCUGCAGAGGCCAGCCUGCCCCUCCCUGCUUGUGCCUGCUGGGCCGGCCAAAGCAGUCCGGGUACUUUGUUAGGGGUGGGGAGCACAUCUGUGCUCAGCCUUAUGGCUGGAUAAAUACAGCUGCCUAAGCGCUUCUCUCUGUUUGCCAUUGAAUAAUUGCUCUGUGCUUUAAAGUUGUUUUCUUAUCUUGUUGCAUAAUCCUUUGUGCCACAGUAUCAGGAUGCUGGAACAAAUGAACCCAGGAGAGGAUCAGUAGUAAGUUCCUUAAACAUCAAGUUCAAAACCCCCAUGCAUUUUGCAAAAGUUACAUUUCUUUUAAAGUUGGUUAGCAUUUUUAAAGUCUUCAUUCCAAUUUUCCCUUUUGUCAUGAUCUUAAUAAUGUUCUUGUCCCUGCUUUCUGCUGCUUCUAUUGUGUGUGUUGUAUCACUAAGUUAUUUGAAACUGUUUGUAAUGAUUCAUCUUUUUCCUUCAGGAAGAAGACUUCUCCUAUAGUGGAAGCUUUAAGUUAGAAGCAGGUUUAACAUACAGAUUUGUGAUAUCCCAAUGCAGCAUGAGCUGAAAUCUUCAGAAAAACCUUUGCGUUGUCACUGGAAAAGGUGUUUGGACUACAAGGCUAGAUCCUGGCAGAUGACAGACAUGUUUCUAAGUGGCAAGCACAAGUUCAAGUUCAAGUUGCCCUGAUUAGGCAGCUGAAGAUUCCUCAGAAGGGAAGAAGGAGAGUAUCUCCUGGUGAAAGAAAACUUUCAGAAAUCAGAUGGGUGCCCUUUGCAGCCUGCCCAACAAUUUUAAGUGCUCCUAGAGACUCCUUCGUUAUGGGCUGGAGGAAAUUAAAGCUUCAAAAUCACUGAGAAAGCCUGUGUGAGAGGGCUGAAGGAGGGAGUUUUGGGUUCACUCUGAGUGGCACUUGGACACAUAAUGCUUGACCAAGCUACAGCUGCCAUUAGGUGUAACAGUCUGGAACUGGUCGCUUGGCAGGGCAGGUAAAAAUCUGUGUGAGAGGAGAUUGGGAAACACCUUUAGAGCAUGUUUAAUACAUAAUAGGAUAAAUCAGCUUUGUUAAAUGAAAGUGGUAUAGUGACUGAUGGAUGAGGACUACUAUAAUCAUUUACAAAGACAGACCUAUACAACUGUUAGCAUAAAGACAUGCAAGGCAAUGACAGCCAAGAUUUUCUCAUGGGAGGAAAAUUGAAGCCAGAGACAUAAGACAUUUAUGUGGGCACAUGGGUUAUUAGUUUUUGAUUAAAUUUCAUUGUUGAAUCAAUUGCUUUAUUGUUUGCUAAUGAAGGAUCAUUUUUAGCAAAUAUUUUUAUUAUAAUUUAUAUUUAGUGUUGCAGCCUUUUUUAUAAUAGUGAGUACUAAGAAGUCAUGAAAGGAUUUAAAAUCUUAUUAUUUUAGAAGUAUUGGGUCCUCUGUCUUAAUGUCCAAGUUCUUAAAAAUUUCUUCCUCUAAGCACAAGAGCUAAGAACUUGCCUCCCUCAAACUCUUAUUUAAUUGCUUCAGCAAAAGAGUUUAGGAACUUCAGGAAAAAACACAAAUUAUCUGUGAUCCAAAUAAAAAUGGCACAGCUGACAACAGUGAUUAUCUCCUUAAACCAUGUACAAGGGAAGAUCUCACUGUACGUUUGAAGAGUAAAAUACCCAGAAGGAGUUAGGCUUUAAAUAAGUGAAACAACCAAAUGGUUGAAGAAAGGAAGAUAUUUUCACAGUGUCUCAGCUGUAGAUUCCUGAAAGAUCCCUCCAGGGAGAGUUUAUCAAAUAAAACGCAGAUACCAGUUGUUUUGCAGUUUGGACAAAGAGAGUUUGCACCACAUAUCAGUUGAGACAUAAACCAAAUAUCUCUCUGAUAAACUUUGCUUUCUGGGCAAAGCUAAAUCUGUUUCUGAAUGUAGUAAGCAGGAAAACAUUUGGCAUCUCCUCCAGAGUAAGAAUGGGAUUCUUAGGUUAUUGAAGCUAAGAGGAAGGUGGUUGCAAGAUGUUUUUAAAAUCAACUAAUUUCUGUGGGUAUUCUAAAUGAGAUCGUGUCUUUCAUUAGCCACAGCUUUAAUCAGUGUAUUCACUUAUUCUUCUGAUGUCUUACACAAGGCAGUAAGUCCAGUGUAAGAAUCUAGUAGUCCAGGUCAUAACCCAAACAGAACAUGAGAUGAAAAAACAGGAGAAAAUAUUAAAAGCAUUCCUUUCUGGUUUACUUUUUUUUUUAUGCAGACAAAGUGAAUAAAAGGUUUUCCACCUUAAUAGUUAAAUCUAUACCUCAACUACGGCAUUCUUUUACUUGGAAAGCAAAAGGACCAUUAACAGGUUUUGAUGAUUGCUUUCUUUGAACCAGUCAAACAAAAAUACUGUCCCUUAUGUGAGGCUGAUAUGGUAUUUACCUGAUGAGCUAAAAUGUUUCAUUUCAUUUUGUCCCUCAGGGAAAUUCUGUCCCAACAGAUUCCCUUUUAUUUUUUUUUUAACUUUAACUUUAACUUUAACUUUUUUUUUUUUUUUUUGACUUGGUAUCUACUUUUUUACCAGUUGGUAAAAACAGAACAGAUAAAUCAGUCUUACUGGAAAACAAACAAAAAAAAGAAAGGUAUAGGUAAUUAGAUUUGUAUACAUAUAGAAACUAAUUUGCAGAAGAAAUAAAACUCUUUUACUCUAGAACCUGAUCAUUUUAACAUAUAUUUCAUCUACUUUCUACAGAAUUACAGUUUUUUUUAACAGGUAGAAAAAAAAGCCUUUAGGAAAAUUUUCUAAAUGUAUUUUCAGAAUUUUUUCUUCACAUACAAUCUUGUUGCUUAUUCUUACAAAUCUGGGUUCAUCAUUAUCUCUCUAAAACAUGAUAAUAAAUCUCUGCUUCCUUCCUAUACCUAUGAAGGUGGGACCUUUUCCUGUGCUAUACUAACUCAGUAGGAGAUGCUGCAUAACAUUUGUAUUCAUUGCCCUUUUCUAUAUGUGCUUUAAGGCAGGAUAAAAAAAUAGCAAUAACAGAAUUACUAUUUGUCCCAAAGAUGAUCGGUGGAAAUUUUCUUUGUGACUUGGUGAUCUGGUAACUUUUAGUUGUCCCUGACUUUACAAUAAUAUCUACUACUAUCUCUCCUAAGUUUUUUUGUUUGUUUGAUUUGGAUUUCACUUUUCCUUUAACAAUAUCCUUAUGGCAGAGAACCCCUCAUGGUUCAAAUUCCAUUUUCAUAUGUAAAUGGUGGGAUAUUCAACUGACUAAAAUAAGUGCAAUUUGAAAGCGCUGUUCAUUGGUGUUUACCAGAGCUUGAUUUUAUGUUUUAUGUGUUGACCACAUUGUUGCUUCUGGGCCUCAAAAUCUGAGCCAAGAGUUAAAACUAUAUUUUCCCAUCUAUUCUUCAUUCUGCUAGAAAAUUACUUUCUUUCAGUUGUAAACAAAGGGUGAUUUAUCUUUGUGGCUAGAAGGAAUGGAAUUAGCCCAUCGUAAAUUCAAGGUAAUCUGUUUCUCCAUUAGUAGCUUUAGUUCAACAGCUAAUAAAGGCAGAAGACAGUACAUUAGAGAAUUAUUGUAAGGUGACAUUUUAAUGAGAACAUAACUUUUGGGGAACUGAAAAAGGAUAUGCAGCCACAACCCCAGUAAGAUGUUGAAGGCUGGCCUGACUUUCUUUCAUCUGAGGCAAAUAACUGCCGGGGUGGUUUUAGUUAAAUGUGCCUCAGACUGUCUGUACUUGCUCUGCAUAAAGAGCAGGACAGCCCAAUUCAUUAAACAGAAAGAAAAGGAUGCUUCUGUUCUGGCCAGGCAUGGCUGCCACACAGCAUUUCAAGUCUUGAGAAAAACACUCUUUACUUGAGGCUGGACCUCAAGUAUGUUUUUUAUGACCAAUUUGCUAUAAAUGAUUCAUUAAGAGCAUUUCAGAACUAUACCCUUGGGUGAAAAAAAAAAUAAACUUUCUACGCAUGCAUCCAGAUUCAAAUAUACAUAGAUACAUCUUUCCUACUUAGAAGUGUGCUAUGUGCAUAAACCUAUGUCCUUAAUCCACUUGCUAUAUCUUAUUUAUUCUGCAGUUGGAUUUCUCUUCAGUUUAUGACAUUAAAUACCACAUUGCUUAAAUAAAAUACCUGUAUUUCUGUAUUUCCAGC